UUUUAUUUCGCCCGCAGAGAAAACCAAAACCCUAUUAGACGAUCAAACCCUAGCCUCCUAAAACCCUAGAAAAUCUAUCGAGAGGCGAUGGCGAAAUCGAAACCAGCUGCGGCCGUGGACGCCGUCAAGGAGUUCUGGAACUCUCAGGUCAACGACGACGACAAGUGGGCCGUCAACUCGAAGUUGUUACGUGCAUUUGGACUCUUUGCUGGCUCCAUAUUUUUUAUGCGCAACUUUGGGGAGCUAAUGGCUAUAUGAAGAUAGAUGUUAUUACAAUAACCUAACAGAUUAUGGAAGGUGGUUCUAUAUCUCAGUCAUCUUUUCAAACAUGUUGUGGGGCAUUGUUUCAACUCAUGUAUCAAAUAUUUCGUACCUAUUUCAGAUUUCUUUUGUUCAAACUUCAUUACACUUAACAAUAGUGUCCGAUGUGCAUGUUUUGUUGCACGCGUUGUUAUCUUUAUCAUCUUCAAGAUAUGAAUUCACAAUGUUGUUGGUGGUUGCUCUAUACGAUAUCAUUCGGACAUAGAAUAUUGACAGCA